rfam:Brassica napus, WGS project CCCW01000000 data, contig: 22962
AUACCUUUCUCGGCCUUUUGGCUAAGAUCAAGUGUAGUAUAUGUUCUUAUCAGUUUAAUAUCUGAUAUGUGGGCCAUCAACCUGUUCGAUAUUAACUCGAUAUUUUGAGGGAGGAAUCCUAACAAUAUAGCUUGCUAUAUGGGUUUUUAUGUGUUGCUCAUGCUUUGCACUACUGCAAGGGCCGGCUCAACCCAC